GACGAACGCUGGCGGCGUGCUUAACACAUGCAAGUCGAGCGGUAAGGCCCUUUCGGGGGUACACGAGCGGCGAACGGGUGAGCAACACGUGGGUGACCUGCCCUCAGCUCUGGGAUAAGCCUGGGAAACCGGGUCUAAUACCGGAUAUGACUCCAUGACGCAUGUUGUGGGGUGGAAAGCCUUGUGCGGCUGAGGAUGGGCCCGCGGCCUAUCAGCUUGUUGGUGGGGUGANGGCCUACCAAGGCGACGACGGGUAGCCGGCCUGAGAGGGCGACCGGCCACACUGGGACUGAGACACGGCCCAGACUCCUACGGGAGGCAGCAGUGGGGAAUCUUGCGCAAUGGGCGAAAGCCUGACGCAGCGACGCCGCGUGAGGGAUGACGGCCUGG
rnacentral:rRNA from 1 species